rnacentral:rRNA from 1 species
UGUCGUCAGCUCGUGCCGUGAGGUGUCGGCUUAAGUGCCAUAACGAGCGCAACCCUUAUCUUUAGUUACUAACAGGUCAUGCUGAGGACUCUAGAGAGACUGCCGUCGUAAGAUGUGAGGAAGGUGGGGAUGACGUCAAAUCAGCACGGCCCUUACGUCCGGGGCUACACACGUGUUACAAUGGGGGGUACAGAAGGCCGCUACCUGGCGACAGGAUGCUAAUCCCAAAAACCUCUCUCAGUUCGGAUCGAAGUCUGCAACCCGACUUCGUGAAGCUGGAUUCGCUAGUAAUCGCGCAUCAGCCAUGGCGCGGUGAAUACGUUCCCGGGCCUUGUACACACCGCCCGUCAAGCCAUGAAAGCCGGGGGUACCUGAAGUACGUAACCGCAAGGAGCGUCCUAGGGUAAAACUGGUAAUUGGGGCUAAGUCGUAACAAGG